UACAGAGGGGGCAAGCGUUAUUCGGAAUUAUUGGGCGUAAAGGGCGCGUAGGCGGCUUUUCAAGUGACGGGUGAAAUCCCUCGGCUUAACCGAGGAACUGCCUGUCAGACUGGAAGGCUUGAGACCGGGAGAGGUGAGUGGAAUUCCCAGUGUAGCGGUGAAAUGCGUAGAUAUUGGGAGGAACACCAGUGGCGAAGGCGGCUCACUGGGCCACACCUGACGCUGAGACGCGAAAGCUAGGGGAGCGAACAGG
rnacentral:rRNA from 1 species